rnacentral:rRNA from 1 species
NGAUGCGAUCAUACCAGCACUAAUGCACCGGAUCCCAUCAUAACUCCGCAGUUAAGCGUGCUUGGGCGAGAGUAGUACUAGAAUGGGUGACCUCCUGGCAGUGGCAGAGCUAGGACGAACUUU